AUCCAGCUGACGAGUCCCAAAUAGGAUGAAAUGGACGUUUUGAAU
rfam:Schistosoma haematobium scaffold443_8, whole genome shotgun sequence.